rnacentral:tRNA from 1 species
ACCCUUCUAGUAUAAUACAAUACAACUGACUUCCAAUCAUUCAAUCUUGCCCAAGGAAGGGUA